UACAGAGGGUGCAAGCGUUAAUCGGAGUUACUGGGCGUAAAGGGCGCGUAGGCGGUUUGUUAAGUGAGUUGUGAAAGCCCUGGGCUUAACCUGGGAAUGGCAACUUAAACUGGCGAGCUAGAGUACUGUAGAGGGUAGUGGAAUUUCCGGUGUAGCGGUGAAAUGCGUAGAGAUCGGAAGGAGCACCAGCGGCGAAGGCGGCUACCUGGACAGAUACUGACGCUGAGGCGCGAGAGCGUGGGGAGCAAACAGG
rnacentral:rRNA from 1 species